rnacentral:rRNA from 1 species
CCUACGGGAGGCAGCAGUGGGGAAUCUUGCGCAAUGGGGGAAACCCUGACGCAGCAACGCCGCGUGGGUGAUGAAGGCCUUCGGGUCGUAAAGCCCUGUCAGGUGGGAAGAAACUUGUGGAUGUCAACACCAUCCAUGCUUGACGGUACCACCGGAGGAAGCACCGGCUAACUCCGUGCCAGCAGCCGCGGUAAUACGGAGGGUGCAAGCGUUGUUCGGAAUUAUUGGGCGUAAAGCGCGUGUAGGUGGUCGUGUAAGUCAGAUGUGAAAGCCUUCUGCUUAACAGAAGAAGUGCAUUUGAAACUGCUCGGCUAGAGUACGGGAGAGGAGAGUGGAAUUCCCGGUGUAGAGGUGAAAUUCGUAGAUAUCGGGAGGAACACCAGUGGCGAAGGCGGCUCUCUGGUCCGAUACUGACGCUGAGACGCGAAAGCGUGGGGAGCAAACAGGAUUAGAUACCCUGGUAGUCCACGCCGUAAACGAUGGGCACUAGGUGUAGGAGGUAUUGACCCCUUCUGUGCCGAAGCUAACGCAUUAAGUGCCCCGCCUGGGGAGUACGGCCGCAAGGCUAAAACUCAAAGGAAUUGACGG